GAUGAACGCUGGCGGCGUGCCUAAUACAUGCAAGUCGAGCGAACAGACAAGGAGCUUGCUCCUUUGACGUUAGCGGCGGACGGGUGAGUAACACGUGGGUAACCUACCUAUAAGACUGGGAUAACUUCGGGAAACCGGAGCUAAUACCGGAUAAUAUUUCGAACCGCAUGGUUCGAUAGUGAAAGAUGGUUUUGCUAUCACUUAUAGAUGGACCCGCGCCGUAUUAGCUAGUUGGUAAGGUAACGGCUUACCAAGGCGACGAUACGUAGCCGACCUGAGAGGGUGAUCGGCCACACUGGAACUGAGACACGGUCCAGACUCCUACGGGAGGCAGCAGUAGGGAAUCUUCCGCAAUGGGCGAAAGCCUGACGGAGCAACGCCGCGUGAGUGAUGAAGGUCUUCGGAUCGUAAAACUCUGUUAUUAGGGAAGAACAUACAUGUAAGUAACUAUGCACGUCUUGACGGUACCUAAUCAGAAAGCCACGGCUAACUACGUGCCAGCAGCCGCGGUAAUACGUAGGUGGCAAGCGUUAUCCGGAAUUAUUGGGCGUAAAGCGCGCGUAGGCGGUUUUUUAGUCUGAUGUGAAAGCCCACGGCUCAACCGUGGAGGGUCAUUGGAAACUGGAAAACUUGAGUGCAGAAGAGGAAAGUGGAAUUCCAUGUGUAGCGGUGAAAUGCGCAGAGAUAUGGAGGAACACCAGUGGCGAAGGCGACUUUCUGGUCUGUAACUGACGCUGAUGUGCGAAAGCGUGGGGAUCAAACAGGAUUAGAUACCCUGGUAGUCCACGCCGUAAACGAUGAGUGCUAAGUGUUAGGGGGUUUCCGCCCCUUAGUGCUGCAGCUAACGCAUUAAGCACUCCGCCUGGGGAGUACGACCGCAAGGUUGAAACUCAAAGGAAUUGACGGGGACCCGCACAAGCGGUGGAGCAUGUGGUUUAAUUCGAAGCAACGCGAAGAACCUUACCAAAUCUUGACAUCCUUUGACAACUCUAGAGAUAGAGCCUUCCCCUUCGGGGGACAAAGUGACAGGUGGUGCAUGGUUGUCGUCAGCUCGUGUCGUGAGAUGUUGGGUUAAGUCCCGCAACGAGCGCAACCCUUAAGCUUAGUUGCCAUCAUUAAGUUGGGCACUCUAAGUUGACUGCCGGUGACAAACCGGAGGAAGGUGGGGAUGACGUCAAAUCAUCAUGCCCCUUAUGAUUUGGGCUACACACGUGCUACAAUGGACAAUACAAAGGGCAGCGAAACCGCGAGGUCAAGCAAAUCCCAUAAAGUUGUUCUCAGUUCGGAUUGUAGUCUGCAACUCGACUACAUGAAGCUGGAAUCGCUAGUAAUCGUAGAUCAGCAUGCCACGGUGAAUACGUUCCCGGGUCU
rnacentral:rRNA from 1 species